UGCGACAGCCUAGAUUCAAACCGGGUCAACUGCUUGGAAGGCAGCUAUGCUAACCAUUAUACCACCGUCUU